UACGUAGGUGGCAAGCGUUGUCCGGAUUUACUGGGCGUAAAGAGCGCGCAGGCGGUCGAGUAAGUCGAAUGUGAAAGCCCCCGGCUUAACUGGGGAGGGUCAUUCGAUACUGUUCGACUUGAAGGCAGGAGAGGGCAGCAGAAUUCCCGGUGUAAUGGUGAAAUGCGUAGAUAUCGGGAGGAAUACCAGUGGCGAAGGCGGCUGCCUGGCCUGUUCUUGACGCUGAGGCGCGAAAGCUGGGGGAGCAAACGGG
rnacentral:rRNA from 1 species